rnacentral:SRP_RNA from 1 species
CCCCAGGUCCGUGGGACGGAAGCCCAUGAACCCCGUCAGGACCCCGCAGGUAGCAGCGGUAAGUGCGGUAACCGUCGCCGCGGAGUGCCUGGGGCAC